GCCUACGGGGGGCAGCAGUAGGGAAUCUUCCACAAUGGGCGAAAGCCUGAUGGAGCAACGCCGCGUGGGUGAAGAAGGUCUUCGGAUCGUAAAACCCUGUUGUUAGAGAAGAAAGUGCGUGAGAGUAACUGUUCACGUUUCGACGGUAUCUAACCAGAAAGCCACGGCUAACUACGUGCCAGCAGCCGCGGUAAUACAUAGGUGGCAAGCGUUAUCCGGAUUUAUUGGGCGUAAAGGGAACGCAGGCGGUCUUUUAAGUCUGAUGUGAAAGCCUUCGGCUUGACCGGAGUAGUGCAUUGGAAACU
rnacentral:rRNA from 1 species